UUAUGGCAGCACUAUGGGCAGCCUAUGGCAUUAUGGGAUUGUUAUCGGGGUAUGGGGUCGGUACUUUACUUAUGGGGCAGCACUUAUGGGGCAGCUAUGGGGCUAUUAUGGGGUUGUUAUGGGGUUAUGGGGUGGUACUUAUGGGGCAGCACUUAUGGGGCGGCUAUGGGGCUAUUAUGGGGUUAUUAUGGGGUUAUUAUGGGGUUAUGGGGUUAUUAUGGGGUUGUUAUGGGGUUAUUAUGGGGUUAUGGGGUUAUUAUGGGGUUGUUAUGGGGUUGUUAUGGGGUUAUUGUGGGGUUAUUAUGGGGUUAUGGGGUUAUUAUGGGGUUAUGGGGUUGUUAUGGGGUUAUGGGGUUGUUAUGGGGUUAUUAUGGGGUUAUUAUGGGGUUAUUAUGGGGUUAUUAUGGGGUUAUGGGGUUAUUAUGGGGUUAUUAUGGGGUUAUGGGGUUGUUAUGGGGUUAUGGGGUUAUUAUGGGGUUAUUAUGGGGUUAUGGGGUUGUUAUGGGGUUAUGGGGUUAUUAUGGGGUCGUUAUGGGGUUGUUAU
rnacentral:lncRNA from 1 species